GACGAGCGCUGGCGGCGUGCUUAACACAUGCAAGUCGAACGGAAACGCCCUGCUUGUUUGGUGUUCUCGAUGGGCGAACGGGGGAGUAACACGUAAGUAACCGGCUCUUGACUUUGGUAGAAGUUCAGGAAACGGGGGCUAAGACCGUAUAGGAGCUCCUGCUGCAUGGUGGGGGUUGGAAAUUUGCGGCUGGUGGGGAUGGACGCGCGGCUUAUCGGCUUGUUGGUUGGGGAGUGGCUUGCCAAGGCAUUGACGGGUCGCCGGCCUGAGAGGGUGACCGGGCUCAUUGGGCCUGAGAUACGGACCAGACGCCUACGGGAGGCAGCAGUCGGGAAUCUUGUCCAGUGGGCGCAAGCCUGAUGCAGCAACGCCGCGUGCGGGAUGACGGCCUUCGGGUUGUAAAAAGCUUUAGCUUGUGACGACGCGUGAGUGACGGUAAUGGGUAAAGAAGCACCGGCUAACUACGUG
rnacentral:rRNA from 1 species